GACUCCAGGACUCCUUUCAGCAUGCCAGGAAGAAGCCUGGACAAUGCAAGACCUUUUUUUUUUUUUGCUUUUAAACCUUUUGUACCUCACUUUUUCUAGUUUUGGUGGAUAUACGUGUCGUUUGAGGACAUUUUAGAGUUAUUUUUACGUUCGUAUUAGGGGCGAUAAAACCAUAUGUAUCGCUAUAAUCUAGACACGUAAUCGGCAUAUAUGACACACAUUUUUGGUUGAUAUCAUAAGUUACGAAGCAAGGUUGGUUGCUCCGUCUUUGGUGGCGGAGCAAGGCGGGAAACGGCCAAUCAGACCUCGCCGUGGCGCAGUUCAAAGGUGCUCUUCAUGACCUGGUCUGGGGUCAGCCAGGAGGCGCUUGUACAAAAUGAAGAAUGACGAGACAAAGCCGUAGAAGGAAGACGUACUGUAACUCUCAGCCCGACUGCUCCACCCGACGGUCUGACCUUACAUUCCACGCUCAGAGGCGAGUCUGUGCUUCCGGGACGUAGAUCUCCACGCUGUCCGCGCUCUCGGUGGCGGAGUUCUGGCGGAAAGACGCUGCCUUCUUGGCGGCCAGCAGACGCUUGCGGGCCUCUUGUCUCUGCUUCUCCGCCGGAAGCGAAGACGAGGAGUCCGCGCUCUUCUCGCGGCCCAAGGAGGGUCGUCCCUUAGCGGCCGUCUUUGACGCCGGAGGAGGGGUUUUGUCUUGGUCCUGUGAGGAUAACAGUGACACAUAGGGAGGGAGAGUGAUGAGUAAGGAGAGGAGGGGAAAAACAACAAACAAAACUGGGUUGACAAAAAAAAAAGACAGUUUUUGGUAACAGAAGAAGACAGACAAUAUCAACAGCAGUCAGUGAUUGACAGUUUGAGACAGGGGUGCCCAGACUUUUUCUGCAGGCGAGCUACUUUUCAAUUGACCAACUUGAGGGGAUCUACCUCAUUUAUAUAUAUCAUUUAUAUUUAUUUAUUUAUGAAAGAGACAUUUUUGUAAACAAGUUAAAUGUGUUUAAUGAUAAUACAAGCAUGUGUAACACAUAUAGAUGUCUUUCUUUCACGAAGACAAGAAUAUAAGUUGGUGUAUUACCUGAUUCUGAUGACUUGCAUUGAUUGGAAUCAGACAGUAAUGAUGAUAACGCCCACAUUUUCAAACGGAGGAGAAAAAAAGUUGUCCUUUCUGUACAAUACCACAUGAAAGUGGUUGGUUUUUGGCAUCUAAUUCAUCCAGCUUCCAUACACUUUACAAGAAAAACAUUGGCGGCAAAUUCCGUAGCUUGCUUGAUUGACAUUCACGGCACC